AAAUAGUUAAACCUGAAGGUCACUUCACAGCAGCGUUCCUACAUGCUCCCCCAGCGAGGCUGCCCGGCAACAAUAAAACAAAGCCUUUGCAACCACCUGUAAUAAUCUGCCUGCUCAGCCAGCAAUCCGAAAAGUCCUGGAGCUACACAAGAGAGUAUUUGGAUGUCCCAGGAGAGGCAGAUACAGACAGAAAGAGUGCAAAAGAAAUGGAAAAUGUUAGAAAUCUCAGAACAUCUUACAGGUAUGUAUUAAACAAAAUAAAGUUACAAGUGAAAAAGCACAUUUCCCUGUUGAAGCAAUCAGGGAAAGCUUCUGAUAGGCUUCAGAUAUAAUAUGUGUACAUUCUAAUGAAAGAAGGCUUUUACCAUUGAAACCUGUUUAAAAUUCAUAGGCUACUGACCUACCCCACAGAAUCCCUGUACAGACAUGGGC
rnacentral:lncRNA from 1 species